AGGACGAACGCUGGCGGCGUGCCUAACACAUGCAAGUCGAACGGGGCCCGCAAGGGUUCAGUGGCGGACGGGUGCGUAACACGUGAAGAACAUGUCUUUCGGUGGGGGAUAGCCAGCCCAACGGCCGGGUAAUACCGCAUACGCUGCUCGGAGCUCAUGCUCUGAGUCGGAAAGCAGCAAUGCGCCGAUUGAGUGCUUCGCGGCCUAUCAGCUAGUUGGUGAGGUAAUGGCUCACCAAGGCGACGACGGGUAGC
rnacentral:rRNA from 1 species